AGGACGAACGCUGGCGGCGUGCUUAACACAUGCAAGUCGAGCGGAAAGGCCCUUCGGGGUACUCGAGCGGCGAACGGGUGAGUAACACGUGAGCAAUCUGCCCUUAGCUUCGGGAUAGCCCCGGGAAACCGGGAUUAAAUACCGAAUACGACCUCGGCCGACAUCGGCCUUGGUGGAAAGUUUUUCGGCUAGGGAUGAACUCGCGGCCUAUCAGCUUGUUGGUGGGUAAUAGCCUACCAAGGCGACGACGGGUAG
rnacentral:rRNA from 1 species